ensembl:lncRNA
AUGUCCAGAAGAGUGGAGGUGAUCAUCAACUCCUCAGCUCCGCAGGAUCAGGACGAGCCUCCUCUUCACAUCACAGAGUCGAAGCCCGGAGAGCAUCCAGGAGUGAAGGGCUUCCUGAAGUUCCACCCGGAGGUGCUGGGGUGGCGGGAGAUACUCACCGGUUCCAUGGUGUUAGGACUCGUGUAUUGGAAUUACGAUCUCUGGCUGUUAAUACCGGCUUGCUUUGUGAUUUUAAUAGGAGUUAUAACAGCUAUAGCUGCAUGCACCCGCAACCGCUGUCUGGUGAUCACGUCUCAGGUGCUGAAUCUGCUCAAUAUCUGCAAUGUGGUGACGGCCAUCGUCGCGUUUUUCGUCGUAGUCUUCUUGGGGAUUCUUAGGGAUGCGUUUUUUGGACAUUUACUGCGUGGUCAUUUCCUGAAUGGCCGUUCUGAGAGUAAUCAGUCUCUGCCCGCAAACAUGGCCUUCGUCACCUGUAACAUUCUGGCGCUCAUCUUCUCAUUUCUCAUCAUCAUGACGUUGUGCUGCUGGUGUAAACCGAGAAAGCGUCUGAUGGUCAUCCACAUGAACGCAGCUUCACCUGCAGCGGUCAGUGACGUCAUGGAUCACCCGCGGCCAGUAUCUUCCCCCCCGGCCUACAGUCCGGUCCCGUCUUCAGAUCCGCCAGACUACGAGGAGGAACGACGCUCGAUGCUCUCUGGAGUUUCUGCUCAGAAGUGGGCCUCGAGGAAAUGGAAAGAAGAACUGCAGCGCAGCAGAAAAUCCAUCCAAGUCUGACCGGACAGUCAGAUUUCUAUGCUCUAAAGUAGAGCUUUAAUGACCUGUGUUUUAUUUGAGCUCUUGUCGUGUUCUCAGGGCUCAGUUCAGGGCCCUUUAUUAGUAGAAUGUCUAAUAUCAUAACACUAGUUUUCACUUGCAUCAGAUGAACAACACAGAGAACAUCCACUGGUGGAUGCCACAGAACUUUCUGGAAGACAUGGGACCUUUUUGGCUGAAAUGAUGCACAUUAGAUUUUUUUGUGUCCUUGUUUUUAAAAAGCGACCACAUUAGAAAACAUCUUAUGUGGAACUCUGCACAUGUGCAUUAUGAAAUAUUCAGGGUUUCUGCAGGUCUUAAACUGUCCUUCCACAAAUUAAGGCUUAAAAAGGUCUUAAAUCAGAGCAAAAAAAUCUUAAAUUCAUAAAGUCAUGCCAUGAACUGCAAAAAAUUUAUAUCUUCCUCAGUAUUUUUGUUUUGAUUUAAGUUCACAUAUCUAAACAUCCUGAAAUCAAGAAAUGAAGUCUUGCUUUUUUAAGAAAUGUAUCAAUAUGAAGGGAGUUUAUGGGAAAUGAAAAUGUGUUUCCCUGAAUUAAGUUGAUUUUUAUCUGUUGGACUUUGUGUUUUCAUGCUUUGAAGUGUUGCUAAUGUAACUCAUUUGUGUUUAGAACAUAGUGAAGUAACGUGUUCCCUUUCAUUUAUUCCUUUAAUUUUCUUUACUUUGUCUCAGAAAAGUCUUAAACUUGCCUUCAGAGAACUUACAGAAACCCUGAUAUGCAGGAUUUUAGCAUUAUUUGAGGGUAAGAAACAAUGUUUAAGUGAGAUUCUGAAACAGGGUGUUGAAAUGUGAGUAGUUUUAGAGCGUAUUUCAGUAUUUGGAUCAGGAGCUGUACUUGCAUGACUGAAAAAAGCUGUCCCAAGAUGACCACUGAGAUAUUAUUUAUGAUAUUUGCUCACCUGCGGACAGUUAGAAACACAGGAAAAGUGUCUUAAAGUGCUUCUGCAUUCCCUCAAUCUCAGACACGCUCUUCUUAUGUGCUAUGUAACUAUUUAUGUAAUUUUAGUUUCUUAGUUUUCUUUUAAAUGCAUUUGAAUGUACACACAAGCACUUUGUAAAGCGUUUUGAAGAUGCACUUUAAAGUUCAUGUAUUAUUAGUAGUGUUAUUGUUGUACAAAGGACAGUUUCCAAACUCUGCUGGUUUCUCAUCAGAGUUUUGCCAUCUGAUUCAUUCAUGAUCUAUUGGAGAAAUUCAUCAUUUGCUCACCCUCAAGUUAUUCCAGUGAGUUUCUUUCUUAUGUUGAGCACUUUAUUAUAUUGCUGGCAGCCACUGACUUUAAGAGAAUGGAAAGAAACACUAUGAAGUCAAUGGCUACCAGCAACUGUUUGGUUGCCAAAAUUCUUCAAAAUAUCUUCUUUUGUGUUCAACAGAAGAAAGAAACUCAUACAGGGUUGAAACAAGCGGAUGAUGACAGAAUUGUGAUUUUUGGGUGAACUAUUCCUUUAAGGGCCUGAUCAGAUGUUCUUCAGGCCUCACUACUUUGUUCUGACACUAGAGGUCAGUGUCCUCAAUGUUUAGUGACCAACACUUCAUCUACACAUAUUUCUCUUUACACAACUUUAGAACUUCUGGAUUCAUAUAAAUGAUAUAAAAUCCACAAUAUCUGUUUGUUUCAUGUAUUUCCCUUAAUGUAACACACAUUUCUACACACUUCUAGAGUCUAUUCAGAUCUUCAUGCAUCCCAACUCAAGCAUUUUAUACUGAUUUUAGUGAGACCAUUCUUUUUUUUAUUGAUCUAACCUUGUUUGAGUUGCUGUGUCUAGAUUUCUUCUAGACAGUUCUGCUUUUUUUGCAUUUGGAUUGUUUGGUCACAUUUUAGUUUGGGGACCAAUUCUCACUAUGAACUGGUCAUGCAGAACAAGUGCUUUGUAAGUGUUAAUAAAUAGCCAGUGUUCUAGUAGCA